rnacentral:rRNA from 1 species
GGACCCGACUGCUAUCAGAAUAGGACUAAGCCAUGCGAGUCAACGUAGCAAUACGUGGCAUACGGCUCAGUAACACGUAGUCAACAUGCCCAGGGGACGUGGAUAACCUCGGGAAACUGAGGAUAAACCGCGAUAGGUCAUAAUGUCUGGAAUGAUUUAUGGCUAAAAUCUACAUGGCCCCUGGAUUGGACUGCGGCCGAUCAGGCUGUUGGUGAGGUAAUGGCCCACCAAACCUAAAACCGGUACGGGCUCUGAGAGGAGAAGCCCGGAGAUGGGCACUGAGACAAGGGCCCAGGCCCUAUGGGGCGCAGCAGGCGCGAAAACUCUGCAAUAAGCGAAAGCUUGACAGGGUUAUUCUGAGUGAUUUCCGCUAAGGAGAUCUUUUGGCACCUCUAAAAAUGGUGCGGAAUAAGGGGUGGGCAAGCCUGGUGUCAGCCGCCGCGGUAAUACCAGCACCCCGAGUGGUCGGGACGAUUAUUGGGCCUAAAGCAUCCGUAGCCGGUUCUACAAGUCUUCCGUUAAAUCCACCUGCUUAACAGUUGGGCUGCAGAGGAUACUAUAGAGCUAGGAGGCGGGAGAGGCAAGCGGUACUUAGUGGGUAGGGGUAAAAUCCGUUGAUCCACUGAAGACCACCAGUGGCGAAGGCGGCUUGCCAGAACGCGCUCGACGGUGAGGGAUGAAAGCUGGGGGAGCAAACCGGAUUAGAUACCCGGGUAGUCCCAGCUGUAAACGAUGCAGACUCGGUGAUGAACAGGCUUCGUGCCUAUUCAGUGCCGCAGGGAAGCCGUUAAGUCUGCCGCCUGGGGAGUACGGUCGCAAGACUGAAACUUAAAGGAAUUGGCGGGGGAGCACCACAAGGGGUGAAGCCUGCGGUUCAAUUGGAGUCAACGCCGGGAAUCUUACCGGGGGCGACAGCAGAAUGAAGGUCAAGCUGAAGACUUUACCAGACAAGCUGAGAGGAGGUGCAUGGCCGUCGCCAGCUCGUGCCGUGAGGUGUCCUGUUAAGUCAGGUAACGAGCGAGACC